rnacentral:rRNA from 1 species
UACGUAGGGGGCGAGCGUUGUCCGGAUUUACUGGGCGUAAAGGGUGAGUAGGCGGUUAUAUAUGUCAGGUGUAAAAAGCUAUGGCUUAACCAUAGUAAGCACUUGAAACUGUAUGACUUGAGUGCAGGAGAGGUAAGCGGAAUUCCUAGUGUAGCGGUGAAAUGCGUAGAUAUUAGGAGGAACACCGGUGGCGAAGGCGGCUUACUGGACUGUAACUGACGCUGAGUCACGAAAGCGUGGGUAGCAAACAGGAUUAGAUACCCUGGUAGUCCCU